UACGGAGGGAGCGAGCGUUGUUCGGAAUUACUGGGCGUAAAGGGUGCGCAGGCGGCUAUGCAAGUCGGGAGUGAAAUCCCUGGGCUUAACCCAGGAAUUGCUUUCGAAACUGCAUAGCUUGAGUCUCGGAGAGGUUGGCGGAAUUCCCAGUGUAGAGGUGAAAUUCGUAGAUAUUGGGAGGAACACCAGUGGCGUAAGCGGCCAACUAGACGAGUAACUGACGGCUCAAGCACGAAAAGCGAUGGGGAUCAAACAGG
rnacentral:rRNA from 1 species